GGACAGACGGUGGACCGGCGCCGUACAGAAAUCAUCUUAACCACUGAUACAGAUGUGGUUCAGAAACACAGCAGGGAGGAAUAAAGAUAUGAAUUGCAAGCGAAGUAAGUUAAACAGUAAGUACAUGAAGGCAGAAUUUUUGCUUCAAAUGGUCAAAAGUGUUAGAAUAAGUGUUGUUGGGAUUUUGCUUUUUAUGGUGUUAUAUUUUGCCAGAAAAGUUCCUACAAAAUGCCUCUCUCUACCAAAAGGUCAUUUGUCCAGUAGUAUUUGGGUUACCGGUAGAUCAACGCCUUCAUCAAGGGUUCAAAGAUCACCAAUGUUUGUGAGUAUUUUUCGUAUAUAAAUAUAACAUACUUAAAAAAAAGGUGUUAUAUUAGUAUAUAUGAAGUCCAAGAUUCUGUCUGGGUUGUGCCAGAUGGGCCUGACUCUUACCUGUUUUCCAUUUUGGAAAUGCAUUGGACCAGUCUUUGUCUGGUUUACGAGAUUUCAGCUGGAUUGAAGUAUCUUACUAGAAAGAAAUAAAAUAAAAUAUGGACAUAAAAACUAAAACAUUUGGAUCCAAGUUGAAGAUUACCAGAAGGUAACUUGUUAGCAAUGAAGAGGUACGAGGAUAGAUUAUUUAGAGAAGACAACUUGUUAGCAAUGAUGACUCCCAACUAAGGGGGUGUUUACAAAAUCUUUACCGGGUAAGCGUUUACCACCACGAGUCAUCACCUGUGCUUACUCUCUCAUUUUCGUAAUGAAGUCCAAACAGAACAUCUCAUCCCAUUGUUUAGCCCAACAAUAAAGAAUAAGCCUAUAACAACUUUUGUAGCAUUGAAAAAUCUGUGGUCUACAAUGACUAAACAGAAUAGCAAUUCUAUAUCGAGGUGGCGACAGUCUCAGCCACGGAAACCUCUACUGUUGAUGGUGCAUGCAGAGAAAGUAAACAAGUUCUAGAAUCCGAAUGGAGAAUUGAUGCCAAACGGAGAACUUCUCCGGCAGUCGGGAAACCCGAGUUGGACUAAAACAUACAGUUGAUUCCAGCAGAGGGUGUGUACCCGAUUUGCCAUACCGAUGCCAGCCUCCAUUGCAGGGUGGGAUUCUCCUGUUGAGCUUGUUGAUGGAUCACUUUUGUAAGGAGGGAUUAUAGUCUUUAAGAAUAUAUGCAAGUUUUGAUCAUUUUAGGAAUUCAGAUUAGCUUGUAGAUUUAAAUUUUUAAGGGUUUCUGGAUUUUACUAAAUUAAACAAGAUCAAUUAUAUUACAACUUAUGCGAAAGUAAGGUUCUUAUCAAUAUGUUUGUUAUGAUCGCAUUUGCAACACAGGUUAUGACCAAUCUGAUUGAUGAUGUAUUCAAAAGAGCAAUGACCAAUCGCUUUUAAUGGGAUCCCAAUUGAUGGACUUCGUCAUUAUCUACGAUUAUUUUCUUCCCAUGUACUUGGCACCUUGUUAUGUGAAUCAUAAUGUCUCGGUAUCGCAUUUAAAGGGUCUAUACCAAAUAAACGUCAUGCGCACAUGUUACAUGUAUAACAUCUAGUUAUCUCUUUUCGCUUUUCCGGUACAUUUGUAAUCUUGAUUUCUAAAAUAAGCUUCAUUUACAUGACCGGAUAAGACUGGACA